UUAAGUUAUUAAGGGCGCACGGUGGAUGCCUUGGCACUAGAAGCCGAUGAAGGACGUUACUAACGACGAUAUGCUUUGGGGAGCUGUAAGUAAGCUUUGAUCCAGAGAUUUCCGAAUGGGGAAACCCAGCAUGAGUUAUGUCAUGUUAUCGAUAUGUGAAUACAUAGCAUAUCAGAAGGCACACCCGGAGAACUGAAACAUCUUAGUACCCGGAGGAAGAGAAAGAAAAUUCGAUUCCCUUAGUAGCGGCGAGCGAAACGGGAAGAGCCCAAACCAACAAGCUUGCUUGUUGGGGUUGUAGGACACUCUAUACGGAGUUACAAAGGACGACAUUAGACGAAUCAUCUGGAAAGAUGAAUCAAAGAAGGUAAUAAUCCUGUAGUCGAAAAUGUUGUCUCUCUUGAGUGGAUCCUGAGUACGACGGAGCACGUGAAAUUCCGUCGGAAUCUGGGAGGACCAUCUCCUAAGGCUAAAUACUCUCUAGUGACCGAUAGUGAACCAGUACCGUGAGGGAAAGGUGAAAAGCACCCCGGAAGGGGAGUGAAAUAGAACCUGAAACCGUGUGCUUACAAGUAGUCAGAGCCCGUUAAUGGGUGAUGGCGUGCCUUUUGUAGAAUGAACCGGCGAGUUACGAUUUGAUGCAAGGUUAAGCAGUAAAUGUGGAGCCGUAGCGAAAGCGAGUCUGAAUAGGGCGUUUAGUAUUUGGUCGUAGACCCGAAACCAGGUGAUCUACCCUUGGUCAGGUUGAAGUUCAGGUAACACUGAAUGGAGGACCGAACCGACUUACGUUGAAAAGUGAGCGGAUGAACUGAGGGUAGCGGAGAAAUUUCAAUCGAACCUGGAGAUAGCUGGUUCUCUCCGAAAUAGCUUUAGGGCUAGCCUCAAGUGAUGAUUAUUGGAGGUAGAGCACUGUUUGGACGAGGGGCCCCUCUCGGGUUACCGAAUUCAGACAAACUCCGAAUGCCAAUUAAUUUAACUUGGGAGUCAGAACAUGGGUGAUAAGGUCCGUGUUCGAAAGGGAAACAGCCCAGACCACCAGCUAAGGUCCCAAAAAUAUAUGUUAAGUGGAAAAGGAUGUGGCGUUGCCCAGACAACUAGGAUGUUGGCUUAGAAGCAGCCAUCAUUUAAAGAGUGCGUAAUAGCUCACUAGUCGAGUGACACUGCGCCGAAAAUGUACCGGGGCUAAACAUAUUACCGAAGCUGUGGAUUGUCCUUUGGACAAUGGUAGGAGAGCGUUCUAAGGGCGUUGAAGCAUGAUCGUAAGGACAUGUGGAGCGCUUAGAAGUGAGAAUGCCGGUGUGAGUAGCGAAAGACGGGUGAGAAUCCCGUCCACCGAUUGACUAAGGUUUCCAGAGGAAGGCUCGUCCGCUCUGGGUUAGUCGGGUCCUAAGCUGAGGCCGACAGGCGUAGGCGAUGGAUAACAGGUUGAUAUUCCUGUACCACCUAUAAUCGUUUUAAUCGAUGGGGGGACGCAGUAGGAUAGGCGAAGCGUGCGAUUGGAUUGCACGUCUAAGCAGUAAGGCUGAGUAUUAGGCAAAUCCGGUACUCGUUAAGGCUGAGCUGUGAUGGGGAGAAGACAUUGUGUCUUCGAGUCGUUGAUUUCACACUGCCGAGAAAAGCCUCUAGAUAGAAAAUAGGUGCCCGUACCGCAAACCGACACAGGUAGUCAAGAUGAGAAUUCUAAGGUGAGCGAGCGAACUCUCGUUAAGGAACUCGGCAAAAUGACCCCGUAACUUCGGGAGAAGGGGUGCUCUUUAGGGUUAACGCCCAGAAGAGCCGCAGUGAAUAGGCCCAAGCGACUGUUUAUCAAAAACACAGGUCUCUGCUAAACCGUAAGGUGAUGUAUAGGGGCUGACGCCUGCCCGGUGCUGGAAGGUUAAGAGGAGUGGUUAGCUUCUGCGAAGCUACGAAUCGAAGCCCCAGUAAACGGCGGCCGUAACUAUAACGGUCCUAAGGUAGCGAAAUUCCUUGUCGGGUAAGUUCCGACCCGCACGAAAGGCGUAACGAUUUGGGCACUGUCUCAACGAGAGACUCGGUGAAAUCAUAGUACCUGUGAAGAUGCAGGUUACCCGCGACAGGACGGAAAGACCCCGUGGAGCUUUACUGUAGCCUGAUAUUGAAAUUCGGCACAGCUUGUACAGGAUAGGUAGGAGCCUUUGAAACGUGAGCGCUAGCUUACGUGGAGGCGCUGGUGGGAUACUACCCUAGCUGUGUUGGCUUUCUAACCCGCACCACUUAUCGUGGUGGGAGACAGUGUCAGGCGGGCAGUUUGACUGGGGCGGUCGCCUCCUAAAAGGUAACGGAGGCGCUCAAAGGUUCCCUCAGAAUGGUUGGAAAUCAUUCAUAGAGUGUAAAGGCAUAAGGGAGCUUGACUGCGAGACCUACAAGUCGAGCAGGGUCGAAAGACGGACUUAGUGAUCCGGUGGUUCCGCAUGGAAGGGCCAUCGCUCAACGGAUAAAAGCUACCCCGGGGAUAACAGGCUUAUCUCCCCCAAGAGUUCACAUCGACGGGGAGGUUUGGCACCUCGAUGUCGGCUCAUCGCAUCCUGGGGCUGUAGUCGGUCCCAAGGGUUGGGCUGUUCGCCCAUUAAAGCGGUACGCGAGCUGGGUUCAGAACGUCGUGAGACAGUUCGGUCCCUAUCCGUCGUGGGCGUAGGAAAUUUGAGAGGAGCUGUCCUUAGUACGAGAGGACCGGGAUGGACAUACCUCUGGUGUACCAGUUGUCGUGCCAACGGCAUAGCUGGGUAGCUAUGUGUGGACGGGAUAAGUGCUGAAAGCAUCUAAGCAUGAAGCCCCCCUCAAGAUGAGAUUUCCCAACUUCGGUUAUAAGAUCCCUCAAAGAUGAUGAGGUUAAUAGGUUCGAGGUGGAAGCAUGGUGACAUGUGGAGCUGACGAAUACUAAUCGAUCGAAGACUUAAUCAA
rnacentral:rRNA from 1 species